rnacentral:tRNA from 4 species
AGCGGGGUGGAGAAGCAGUAUCUCGGAAGGCUCAUAACCUUCAGCCCCAGGUGCAAAUCCUGGCCCCGCAACCA